GGGGCUAUAGCUCAGUCGGUUAGAGCGCAUCGCUGAUAACGAUGAGGUCGGAGGUUCGAUUCCUCCUAGCCCCA
rnacentral:tRNA from 1 species